AGGGGUAUAGUUCAAUGGUAGAGCACCGGUCUCCAAAACCGUCGAUCUGGGUUCGAGUCCUAGUACCCCUGCCA
rnacentral:tRNA from 1 species